rnacentral:rRNA from 1 species
CUGGGUGUAAAGGGUGCGUAGGCGGCUCUGCAAGUCAGGUGUGAAAACCAUCGGCUUAACUGAUGGACUGCAUUUGAAACUGUGGAGCUUGAGUGAAGCAGAGGCAGGCGGAAUUCCCGGUGUAGCGGUGAAAUGCGUAGAGAUCGGGAGGAACACCAGUGGCGAAGGCGGCCUGCUGGGCUUUAACUGACGCUGAGGCACGAAAGCAUGGGUAGCAAACAGGAUUAGAUACCCUGGUAGUCCAUGCCGUAAACGAUGAUUACUAGGUGUGGGUGGUCUGACCCCAUCCGUGCCGGAGUUAACACAAUAAGUAAUCCACCUGGGAAGUACGACCGCAAGGUUGAAACUCAAAGGAAUUGACGGGGGCCCGCACAAGCAGUGGAGUAUGUGGUUUAAUUCGAAGCAACGCGAAGAACCUUACCAGGUCUUGACAUCUACCUAAUCCGGCAGAGAUGCAGGAGUGCCUUUCGGGGAAAGGUAAGACAGGUGGUGCAUGGUUGUCGUCAGCUCGUGUCGUGAGAUGUUGGGUUAAGUCCCGCAACGAGCGCAACCCUUGUGAUUAGUUGCUACGCAAAAGCACUCUAAUCAGACUGCCGUUGACAAAACGGAGGAAGGUGGGGACGACGUC